rnacentral:misc_RNA from 1 species
GAUGAAGAACGCAGCGAAAUGCGAUAAGUAAUGUGAAUUGCAGAAUUCAGUGAAUCAUCGAAUCUUUGAACGCACCUUGCACCCUUUGGCAUUCCGAAGGGUAUGCUCGUUUGAGUGUCAUUGUACUCUCACACUCUCCGAUCCUAUGGAUUCGGGGAGCGGUGGACUUGGGUGUUGCUGCCUUUCCUUGUGGCUCACCUCAGAUGCGUCAGUGCACCUCUUGGUUGGACAUAGUACGGCGUGAUAAGUGUCUUCGCCGGCACCUCGCAAGAGGGUGGCCGAUCGGGAGCUCUGCGCUUUCAAACCGUCUUCGGACAAUUUCUGACAACUUGACCUCAAAUCGAGUAGGACUACCCGCUGAACUUAAGCAUAUCAAUAAGCGGAGGA